rnacentral:lncRNA from 13 species
AGCAAACACCAUGCAGAAGAGGAAGGUUUGAUCUGGAGAAGUGAAGUCGGGACCUUCCCGCUGCUCUCCCUACAGGCAAAGGAGGCACUGGGGCGCCAUCCACCCCCGCUGCUCAGGAGAAAACUUACCUUGGCGGCGCGGCCGGGCAGGCGGGAGGGCUGCGCUAGCGCUUCAUUGUCAAACUCAGUUCUAGCAAGUUCCUCGACAUACCGGCGGAGCGGUGCUCGGCGGCGGACAAGCGCCCGGCUGUCUGUCUGUCUGUCUGUCUGUCUGCCCGCCCGCCCGCCAGCCACGCCCAGCCGCGCUCCGCAGGGCCCCGCCGGCUCGGGCACCGCCGGGUCGCCGCCUCUCCGGGCUGCGGCGAACAAAAGGGCGCUUGGCCGGGGGCCGCCCAGCCCUUGCCGCCCCCCGCGGGCGCAGCGCCCGCCCGGCUUCGGAGCCGCCGCAACUUUUCCCUCCGGACGCGGCCGGGGCCGCAGCGCCCACGCGGGACGGGCUGCCCGCCGCGCUGCCCGCCCGCCGCCCCGGGCGCGGCUCCGCGCGCUCCCCGCCAGCGCCCCACGUACCCGCAGCGCCCGCCGCCUGCCCGCGCUCGCCGCCGCUUCCUCCUCCUCCCUCCUGCCCGGCCUUGGCGCCAAACGCCGCCGCCGCAGGCCCGGCGCCUCCCCCGCACAGGCCCGGCGCGGCGGCCCCGGCGCCCGCCCCCCGCCCCGCCUCCAUGCGGGCAGCCCGGGCCGCGCUCACCUCCCGCCGCCGGCCCGGCCCGGCGCGGCGCCGCCUGCUCCUGCCCUGCUCGCUGGCGUGGGCGGCCGCGGCCGUCAGGGCUGGCGCUCCCGCCGCGGCGGCGGCUCCUGCUGCGGGUGCUGCUGGUGCCGUCCCGCGCCGGCGCGCAUCGCCCCCGCCCGCCCGCCCGGGCCCGUGGCCGGCGGCGGCUCCCGCCCUGCGUGCCGGCUGCUCGGCGCGCCCGCAGCCCGGCCCGCUCCUCCUCCGGCGGCGGCGGCGGCACAAGAGCCCUAUUGUAUUAUUGACACUGCUGGGCUCCAGGCCCCGCCUCUUCCCCUUCCCUCCCUGCCCGCACCGGGCCUUCCUGCCAGCUGCGCCGGCAGAGCCGCCCCUCGCCCGGAGAGCGAGCGGGAAGCGGACGGCGGGGAAGGAAGAGGGGCAGCGUAUCUGGUGAAGGUGUGGAGCGCAUGUCCUAUGAGGAGCGGCUGA